rnacentral:rRNA from 1 species
UACGUAGGGUGCAAGCGUUGUCCGGAAUUAUUGGGCGUAAAGAGCUCGUAGGCGGUCUGUCACGUCGGAUGUGAAAACUCGGGGCUCAACCCCGAGCCUGCAUUCGAUACGGGCAGACUUGAGUUCGGCAGGGGAGACUGGAAUUCCUGGUGUAGCGGUGAAAUGCGCAGAUAUCAGGAGGAACACCGGUGGCGAAGGCGGGUCUCUGGGCCGAUACUGACGCUGAGGCGCGAAAGCUAGGGGAGCAAACAGG